CCUAGUAACUAUAUGCUGGAGUGGCUUGUGUGGUGGCCCACAGAGACCAAGACUGGAAAAACUGGAGGCUGGAAUCACUUGAAACCCUUUGUAUUUUCAUUCUCAUAUGUCUUAACUGGGCUGGGAGAAGGUAACCUACCAGGCUGCCAUCAUCAUUCCUCCUCCCACUGCUACAUCUUUAUAUUUUCUUAAUACAGGGUGUGAGAAGUCAGGGAUCCCAUCAGUUGUUGAUGUAGGGUGUGGCAGAUAUGCUGCUGCUGUGAUGUUUAGACAAUGCAUCUUCAUCAGCAGAGUUUCUUGAAUACCCAUCUGCUUCCACUCCCUCAUGUUCUUUUCAGUUUUGUGUGUACCUGUUGUAGAUUUAACAAGACCUGGAUUGCACAAGAGUUUUGUGGAGAAACUAUACACCAUGCUGUGGCUGUGUGGCCAUCACCUCCAAAGAUCAGGUCCAUAUGGAGGUGAUGGAAAUGCACAGUUUUGAUGAACAGGAAGGUGCUUCUUAGUACAAUAGGCCAAGAAAGCAGCAACAGAAGGGCCCUUGGAAGACUAUGCAGGCAAGAUGUUACCCUGCAGUCUGCACCAGUGUGAUCUUGAAUUGCGUGUCACCAACCUGAAUGCCCAUUGUUUUGCCAUUGUAUCCACCAUGGAAAAGCUGCAUGGCAAAAAUCAUUACUGUAUGGGAACACUAGGAUUAUAGCUUAAAGCUUUAAUAACAAUAGUCACUUGUUAUUACAUUUGCUUGGAGGAAUUUGUGCUUUAUCAAGUGGCUCUGCCCUUAACCCAUCCACAGCUGUAAGUUACACACAUUUGCGUGUGAAAAUUUCCUGUGAUACCUGAGACAUGCACUAAUGAGGCUAGUAUGGUAAGAGGCUGUGCUACAAAUUAAGAUCCAUUACUAAGGAAAUAUGUCAGCAAAGUCUCAUAAAUCCAGUUACAAUAUGUUGCCUGGUCUCAAAGUUUUAAGACUGGAAGAAUGUGAUGGCCCACCACAAACAUGGUAGUUGAUUGCAUCCCCAAGAUAAAUGAUAAGAAUUUUUGGUUCACAUAAUCCCAUCAUUACAGCAAGUCAUCUAUUGGAAUGGAAUCCCAUACUUUUCCAGUGCUUAUGGUGGAAUAUCUCUUGCUCUCCCAAAGCCUUGAACUUGAGGUCAGACAGUGGUUAUAACUGAAUUUAUGCCAGUUUGCCAACAUCUUUCCUUGGUACUGAGUGUCAAUUUGUAACACUCAGUCUCUCACUAUAUCAUCUUUCCUUUUGCAUGUCAUGGACAUCACUAGGAAAUUUGCACAAGCUUAUGUAUGUGUAGCUUACAACUGCUGAUGGGAUGUCAUAGGCACUUAAAAAGCAGGUUUCUCCAAACAAGUGUAAUAAAACACAAUUGUUGUCAAUCAAAACAAGGUGAGAGCUCUAGUGUUGUCAUAUAGUAGUAAUUUUUUCUGAUAAAUAGGCAUAUAAUUUGGUGAUCUGCAGCUGAAUGUGAUCACAUUGAGUGGCACUGACUGUAUGUGGGUAACUUGGUGUACCACACACACCUGAAAUAAAAUACACUUAUUAGAUUAAUAAGACUGUUUAGCUGGUUUUGAGAUGCCAGUUAAGUAGCUACCAGCUACUCUAAGUCUAGAGACUCAAUUAUUAGACUCAAUUAUUAUAAUUAUUUUUUCAAUAAAAAUGUGCUCUUGUAUAUCCUUGUCAUAUCUAUGCAAGUGACUGUAAUCUGUUUUUAUUCAUACCAUUAAAAAUAUGGCUGGAUAUGAAUAA